rnacentral:rRNA from 1 species
AGUGAACGCUGGCGGCAGGCCUAACACAUGCAAGUCGAACGGCAGCACGGUAAGAGCUUGCUCUUACGGGUGGCGAGUGGCGGACGGGUGAGGAAUACAUCGGAAUCUACUUUUUCGUGGGGGAUAACGUAGGGAAACUUACGCUAAUACCGCAUACGACCUACGGGUGAAAGCAGGGGAUCUUCGGACCUUGCGCGAUUGAAUGAGCCGAUGUCGGAUUAGCUAGUUGGCGGGGUAAAGGCCCACCAAGGCGACGAUCCGUAGCUGGUCUGAGAGGAUGAUCAGCCACACUGGAACUGAGACACGGUCCAGACUCCUACGGGAGGCAGCAGUGGGGAAUAUUGGACAAUGGGCGCAAGCCUGAUCCAGCCAUACCGCGUGGGUGAAGAAGGCCUUCGGGUUGUAAAGCCCUUUUGUUGGGAAAGAAAAGCAGCAGGUUAAUACCCCGCUGUUCUGACGGUACCCAAAGAAUAAGCACCGGCUAACUUCG